AUACGGAAGGUCCGGGCGUUAUCCGGAUUUAUUGGGUUUAAAGGGAGCGCAGGCGGAGAUGCAAGCGUGACGUCAAAUUUCGGGGCUCAACCCCGUCUCGCGUCGCGAACUGCGUCCCUUGGUUGCGGGAAGGGGAGGCGGAACUCGUGGUGUAGCGGUGAAAUGCAUAGAUAUCGCGAAGAACUCCGAUCGCGAAGGCAGCCUUCCGGCCCGUCAACGACGCUCAUGCUCGAAGGUGCGGGUAUCAAACAGGAUUAGAUACCCUGGUAGUCCGCACAGUAAACGAUGGACACCCGCGGUUUGGCCUGUAUGGCUGAGCCGCCAAGCGAAAGCGUUAAGUGUCCCACCUGGGGAGUACGCCGGCAACGGUGAAACUCAAAGGAAUUGACGGGG
rnacentral:rRNA from 1 species